rnacentral:rRNA from 1 species
GUAAACGCGUGGGUAAACCUGCCCUUAAAGUCUGGGAUACCAUUUGGAAACAGAUGCUAAUACCGGAUAAAAGCUACUUUCGCAUGAAAGAAGUUUUAAAAGGCGGCGUAAGCUGUCGCUAAAAAGGGGAUGGACCUGCGAUGCAUUAGCUAGUUGGUAAGGUAACGGCUUACCAAGGCGAUGAUGCAUAGCCCGAGUUGAGAGACUGAUCGGCCACAUUGGGACUGAGACACGGCCCAAACUCCUACGGGAGGCAGCAGUAGGGAAUCUUCCACAUGGACGCAAGUCUGAUGGAGCAACGCCGCGUGAGUGAAGAAGGUUUUCGGAUCGUAAAGCUCUGUUGUUGGUGAAGAAGGAUAGAGGUAGUAACUGGCCUUUAUUUGACGGUAAUCAACCAGAAAGUCACGGCUAACUACGUGCCAGCAGCCGCGGUAAU